AAGAAAUCCCACAUAUGAUGUUCAACACUGGAUUCUGCCUUUUUUAACAGGAAUAGGGGUCUUAACCUAGAAGAAAAAGGGGUUCCAACUAUAUGUCCCCAUUCAAAUGCAUUGAUCGUCAAAAAAAGGGGGGAGUUCUAACCCCCAGAACCCUCCCACCUAGAUCCGCCACUGGGACAUAUUUUAUCCAAGGUUUGAUUUACAACAUGCUAACUUGCUAACAGUAUCAAUGAAGAUUAGUAGUGUUCAGAAAUAAACUUUGAGAACUAUACAUUGUCUUUUACUCUUAAAGUUGUCAAUAUUUUUCACUAAAAAUAUGUUGGAUAGGAUCAAUACUCUGCAGUGAUAAGAAGUAUACAAAUAAACAGAAUAAUGGUUGAAAUAGUGUGUCUAUAUGCUAUGAUGUUGAAUGACAUCUAACUAAACAAGAAAAUGAAGGUACAAUUUUGUGCCAAAUAAGCCCUAAAUUUAAUGAACUUCAAACUGAAUCUGAUUUGAAUAAAGAAUGUUGAAUAUAUGUACAUUGCAGUUGGAGUUUAACAUAUACCUUUCUAAUGAGUAAAGACAGCCACAUAUUGAUGUGAAUUCAGUUAAAUGACAAAAUCUCAUAAAGUCUUGACUAGCACAUACUUACGAAAUAACAAAGAAUUAAAAUCAUUGUUCAACAGUACAAAUUCACAAGUAACUGGAAUUUUAUUUUUAUCUAUUGACUGACAAAAAAUUAUUGUAGAUGAGCUCACUUUAACUUAGCUAGAUUGUCCGGACAGUGGCCUUUUUUGGCUAAUAACCUAUGAAAAUAAAGAUCUUGCAUGACAGCAUUUGUCAAGUCUAAUUAUGUCAGCAACACGACUUAUAUUCACUUUCUAAAAAGCUUUCCUCUAAAGUAAAAAUAAAAUUGAUAACAAAUGAAAUUUUUAUUUGAUAUGGUGAAAUUAUGGAGCAAGAAAAAGCCACAUAAUGUUCCUUCAAAUGUAAUAUCUUCAUACUUGAUGUCUUUAAGUGGCAAGAAACUCAACAUAAAAAUACAAUUAUAUGACUACAAAAUUAAAAUGAAUCUGACCCUAAUUUGAUAUAAUAUUUAUGGGAAAAAAUGUGCUAAAAGUUCAUAGUAAAAGUUACAAUAUGUAUGUUAUAUAAACAGCACCAGUGCUUGUGAUUAUUGGUCUAGAAUAUAUGUAUUUAAUCAUACUAGGGAUAUUUCUUUAAAAAAAAGUUUCAAAUGGGGGUGUUUUUAGUUAUAUGGCCAUAAGUGUUUUUAUUCUACUACUACAUUGUUCGAAUGAGUAUAUAUGUGCUUUAUAUGAAUUUUAUCUCAUUUCAUAUAAUAAUGAAUUUCAAAAUUCAGGUCAAAACCUCUCAUAGGGGAUAUUCCCUAUAAAUCAGAAUAUAACUGGUUGUUUUCCCCCCCAAAAAAAUGUACUAAUAUUUGAUCUUUUCAGCUAUGAUAAAAAGCUGGCAAUUUCACUUUAUGAUGAAUUAUGGAAAAUGAUUAUAAUUUAUGAAAUAUUAAACCUUACUGCAAUUCAUUAGGGCCAGAAAUACUUAUAUUACUUUUCUUAAAUAACCUUAAAGACUUAAUGGCUUUUUUAAUU
rnacentral:lncRNA from 1 species